GGCACUGCCUAUAACAGCAGCUGAAAACUACAGAAGUUGUAGAUGAUUUUUUUGUUUUUGUUUUCUGCCCAAAGUAGAUUCACUCCUUGUUUUCUUCCUGUUAAGAGAGGGAGAAUUGCUGCCAAUCAGAGUAACUUCCAGAUCACAACUGAAGGAUCAGCCAGGUGCUUCUGGAAACAUACAAGUGACAUUGCCAUAGCCAGGUGAAGAUCUUUUGAGACCAUGACCAAGAAAAGUAUUGCUGUGAUUGGAAGUGGAGCCUGUGGGCUCUCUUCUGUCAAGUGCUGCCUGAAUGAAGACUUGGAUCCUGUUUCCUUUGAAAGGACUGAUGACAUUGGAGGGCUUUGGAGGUAACAGAUCAGUUGAACUUGAACCACUAUCUUUCUGAAUUCCACCUCCAACAUUUUUUCCACUGUGGUGUCAAUGGAGUCUGCAAUUGUGGUGUUCUAUGUUGUUAGAAAGUCUACCUCUUGAAGCUUUCCAAUUAAAUCUCCCUGCUAUUACUCGGGGCAGUGUCUCUCCUGUUUCUUGAACCUGAGGAGAAAUACAGUUGAAGUUCCUGUGCUCAUAAGGACUGGAGGUGCUCCCUGUACUCAGCUGCUCUGUGAUGAGUCCUGAUGACAUCUGAAGACCCUGUGCUUAUGAAGAAUGGAAGGGCUCCCUUUACUGUGCUCUGCUACUCUGUGCUAUGUCCUGGUGACAGCUGAGGGCCCUGUACUCAUGAGGAGUAGAGGUGACCCCUGUCCUAUUCUACUACCCUCUGCUAUGAUUUGGUGACAGCUGAGGGCUCAUGUGUCAUGGAGGUCCAUCCUAUGUUCACCUACCUGUACAGAUUCCUGGAGAGAACUGAGGGCCCUGGGCUCAUAAAAAAUGGAGUUCUCCCCUGCUUUCAGCUACUCUGUAGUGUUUCUUUGUGACCACUGAGGACACUUUUCUCAUUAGGAAUAAAGGUUCUCCCUAUCCUGUC